UCCUCGUUAGUAUAGUGGUGAGUAUCUCCGCCUGUCACGCGGGAGACCGGGGUUCGAUUCCCCGACGGGGAG
rnacentral:tRNA from 1 species